rnacentral:rRNA from 1 species
AUAAGCAUCGGCUAACUUCGUGCCAGCAGCCGCGGUAAGACGAAGGAUGCAAGCGUUAUCCGGAUUCAUUGGGUUUAAAGGGAGCGUAGGUGGACUGAUAAGUCAGUGGUGAAAUCUCUUCGCUUAACGAAGAAAUUGCCAUUGAUACUGUUGGUCUUGAGUACAGUUGCUGUGGGCGGAAUAUGACAUGUAGUGGUGAAAUACAUAGAGAUGUCAUAGAACACCGAUUGCGAAGGCAGCUCACAAAGCUGUAACUGACACUGAGGCUCGAAAGUGCGGGGAUCAAACAGGAUUAGAUACCCUGGUAGUCCGCACCGUAAACGAUGAAUUACUCGCUGCUAGAGGGCAACUUUUUAGUGGGCUUAGCCGAAAGGGCGAAUAAAGUAAUUCCACCCUGGGGGAAGUACCGCCCGGCAACCGGUGAAAACUUCAAAAGGGAAUUUGACCGGGGGGGCCCCUCACCAAACCGGAGGAAGCAUGUGGGGUUUAAAUUUCGAAUGAAUACCGCCCGAAGGGAAACCCUUUACCCAGGGGCUUUGAAAAGUU